AGGCUUCAGCACCCCCACAAUGGGCCUAACAAUGCCAUUGGAUGCGACAUUUGGAUAUAUUAAUAAUGCUCCAAAUACAUCCAACAAAUCUCACGACACUGCGAUAUCUGUGCUCAGUCAUCAAAGCGUCACAAUCUGCUAUCGGUCCGUGCCUACUCCAAAGAGGGCGACCAUUCCCCAUCAGAUCAAGUCGCUAUGUGGUGGAAAACCCUUCGGGGCUGCAAAUUAUUUUCACCGUUCCCACGAGCGUGUCAACCUAUCGGGUUGCACGUCACGCAUGCAAAAAACCACCGCCGCUUGCGUGCAGUCCGAUGGUCACGUUGAGGAGCCUUCCAUUUGUGACCGACAUGCAGCAGAAAAACAAGACUCAAAUGCAUCCAUCUAUAUUUAUUCCCAAAGAUUGCAUCCAGGCGUCCGGUCGAAAGAGCUGAUGGGAAUACAUCAAUAGUCUGCAUGGAUCCAUUUUAGCAUCUAUGAUGAUGAAGGAGAAGGGGGAAAAAAAGCCAUCCACAUAGCCUGGUUUCUUCCUGUUGCUAGGUAACAGUGAAAGGCUUGGCACGCAUAGCAGAGCUUCUGAAGCUGUGGAUGGCCCCGGUGUACGUGUGUGUGUGUGUGUGUGUGUGUGUCAUGAGAGAGAAACAGCACUGUCUUUCAGCAAGCACAAACUUAGCGAUCCUUACCAUGACACCUCCCCCGAUUCUUUCUCACCAGCUGUGGAAGUCAGAGCGGUGUCGGUGAUAUUUGGGAUGGUCUUUGAUAUUCUCGAGGUACUACCAAAUAAACGUGUCUGGCGAAACGGAUUUCAGACGGGAAGCUUGAAGGAAGACCUCUGUGAGAGGGAGAAUCCAUCUCAUAUUUGUCAGGAAGAGUGUUCUGGCAACCGGGUCAGGAUGUAGCCCGCCGCCUGCCCGAAAGACGGCCGGGACACGUUCCGGCACGACCCCGACCCUCCUGAGGAAAAAGCGGUUCAGAGAAUGGAUGGAGUGAGAUAUCAUUUCCUAUGUUUCUCUUCCUUGAGUCAUGAGGGUAUUUUGUCCCAAUUCCAACUCGAAUUUCUUUUGAACAGAACCUCAUUUUUAAAGCUCAUGAAAAUAGGUGCGAUGCGAGGACGAGUCUUCGUUUCUAUGUGUACGUUUCUUACAAGUCCAAAUCUUUCGCUGAACGUGCCCCGCAAAUUGUGUUGGCAUUUAUGUCGAUUUUGACGGCGAGUGGUUGGCGUCGAAAGCGCUCAAAGAUGGCCGACCUCACAUCAUGCAUGGUGUCUUGACAUCAACAUCAUUCGGCAUGAAAUCACUUUGAAAUAAGCAGCAAUAUCUGGGGUCAUGGAAACCCCAGCGGCUGGAAGCGUUCAUUUCAGAAGAGGCCUGGGAUUUUUUUUCCUGACGUCACGUCUCCUCUUCGCCGAUUGGUUCAAUUCGCUGUCUGUUUGUUCAGGUUUACCCCGCCUAAGAAAUCAGAUAGAUUAGACUGGGACCAGACUCAAUCGCUGCCGGUACUGCGAUGAGUCUGCAUUUCUAGGCUGCCGCUCACUAACUGGAAGAAAUUCUGAUCGCUUCUCAGUCCUUUUCAUGAUACUUUUGUAGUACCGUUACUAGUGAUAAUUAAUAAAACUACAAAACUAACCUGAGUAAAUGUAAAUGUUACCUUAAUGCGUUACUUAGUAAACCCUACCGUUGCUCCACGGGAUGCAAAAUAAAUACCAUCAAAUUAUACAAAAUCAUCAUGCAUACAAACAGAGAGUUGGAUUGCUUUCAACAAUAUGUGUCAUACGUAUCAAAGCAUUUACACAAUACAGGGGGAUUGUAGAAAUUGAUAAUUUCUUCCGACAAGCUCUCCGUUUUUUUUUUGUUGUUGUUUUUUGCUGUGGAUUUGUCUCACCGAGACUGCUACUUACACACCGGAUCGUUGCCGAACCAAGCUCCCAAUAGUGACUUUCAAAACAAAGGCACAUUUGGCGCCUUCGCCUCAGCCUCAAUGUGAAAUGCAUUCCUGAUACACGGCCCUUUCUGAACGCCUGCUUCAAAUUUCAUGACUUUUGAAAAAUGAUACAUUCGUGUCGUUGAAGUAACGACGACGUAACUCGUUGAAGGUCCGCUUUCAGACCGGCUAUCAAAUAACCGUGGCGGAGCAUGCUCGCUUUUAUUGUGAAAACCGUGAGCGGACAUACUCGUGUUCACGCUAAGUGACGCUCCCUCGUUGCCGCCGGCUGCGAACAGGAUGCUGUCAGGCCGAAAGGACGCAGCGACCGAGCGGAUGGCGAGCCGAGCCGCAUCCUUUGUUUUCCCGGACCCAACAUCAAGGCGCUUCUGAGGAGGAGAAAGCGGCACACGACCAAGUGUGGAAAACCCAAGCGGUCGUCUCAAUCCUCAAGCCAAGCUGCGAUGCUCUGAAACGUCACAGGUAUAGCUCUGCUAAGAACAGACAGCGAGGAGCGCUGAAGCGAGGGUGUUGACUGACAGAGGGGGGUUACUUUUGCUUGACUCCCCGUCUUCUGGUAUUC